GACGUAGGGCGCAAGCGUUGUCCGGAUUUAUUGGGCGUAAAGGGUGCGUAGGCGGUUUGGUAAGUCUUAUGUGAAAUCUACAGGCUCAACUUGUAGUCUGCAUGAGAAACUGCCGGGCUUGAGUAUGGGAGAGGUGAGUGGAAUUCCUGGUGUAGCGGUGAAAUGCGUAGAUAUCAGGAGGAACACCUGUGGCGAAAGCGGCUCACUGGACCAUAACUGACGCUGAUGCACGAAAGCUAGGGGAGCAAACAGG
rnacentral:rRNA from 1 species